rnacentral:rRNA from 1 species
UACGAAGGGUGCAAGCGUUACUCGGAAUUACUGGGCGUAAAGCGUGCGUAGGUGGUUUGUUAAGUCUGAUGUGAAAGCCCUGGGCUCAACCUGGGAAUUGCAUUGGAUACUGGCAGGCUAGAGUGCGGUAGAGGGUAGUGGAAUUCCCGGUGUAGCAGUGAAAUGCGUAGAGAUCGGGAGGAACAUCCGUGGCGAAGGCGACUACCUGGACCAGCACU